CUAUUAGAGUUCAUUCACACAUUGAAGAGUUACAUACAGGUCUCACUCCUUAUCUUUUUAACUUCCCCACCUGUGUUUUCAUGGACAGUUAAUUGUGUUCAUCAGCUCGGUGUGCCGGAAGAGCUACAGACUUCCCCAGUUCUUGUUCGACAUCAACCUGGGAGUAUUCCUUGACUAAGUCGUUCAGCUCUUGGCAGAACAAUCAGAUUCCCUAUUGUACCCCGAAGCUGGUCAAUCACAGCUGCACUCUUACACCACCCGCCUACAGCCUUUGUGUCUGUAACACAUCCACAAACGCUCUGGAAUAAACACAAAAUUUCUACGUUGCUCUGUUGAUCUCAGCAAUGCAGUGAAACAGGUCGGUCUCCUGCAUGGAGGAGGCAUCAUUUUCAAAAAUAUGCACAGGCAUCAGAAACAUAUGCAUCAUUCCCAAGACUUGGGAAGCUGACUUGAGAAUCCUCAAGGAUCUAGAAAACGAAGGAACAAUUGUGUCUCCUUAAAUGUAUUACCAUCUCAUUCUUUUCUUUCAGCUGCUCAACAGACAUUUACAAAGGUCACAGAAUGGCUGCCAUACAACCUCGAUUUUCUGCAAGGCUCGCCAAGCUAAUCGUGAUUAGCUGCUACAGACAGAAGAUAGGGCCGGUGAAGAAAGUCCAAACAAUGGAGUCUAAUGUGAGACCACAAAGGCUUUCAUGUUGAGAAUGUAACCUCUUGUGAGAUAGAUUCAGCAGCCUCAAGCUUAGAAAACUCCAGGAAAGUUCUUCAGUUUCUCUGAGGAAGAGAUUGGCUGAGUGAAACCAUGUCAAAUAGGUGGAGCGAGUGACAUCUAAGUAAACACAGAUCCCCAGAUGGCUACCCACCGGCCUCCUGUCCCUGAAGCUCUCCUCCGAGUAGACAUUGCUUCAGAACAACUCUGGAGCCAACACUGACGUCAAACAAGAGUACAUGUGGAAUGACCCAUAGCUCCAGCUGCAUAUAUAGCAGAGGAUGGCAUUGUCUGGCAUCAAUAGAAGGAGAAGCCCUUGGUCCUGUGAAGACUGGAUGCUCCAGUGAAAUACAUCUUUGCCUUUGAACAAUACGAGGCCUAAGUGUCAUGUGACUUAGCAUCCUGGCUGCAUGUGUCAUGCAUAAUUUCCUUCACUUUAAUAGUACUGUGUUUAUUUUUAAAAGAAAAAGAACUAGAAAAUAUUAUCCUUAUAAAAGAGACACAUGGUAUGUACUCACU
rnacentral:sRNA from 1 species